rnacentral:lncRNA from 1 species
UUGGAAUGCUCAUUUUUAAAAUCCAAUAUAAAAGUCUAGUAUUUUCUCUUGAAGGUGGAAGAUUUCACUAAACAUAUGACCCACGAGACAUCCCUUUCACAAGACAAUUACCUGGCAUUAAAUCAAUUGAAAAAAUACCUUGAUGCCUUGGAAAGGAGUUACUUAACUGCUAGAGAGGAGCACCAUGUUUUACAGCUGCAGAACUACAAGGACAAGUCUAUCCACGUUGGAGAGUUUGAUCCUGAAAGGUUAGAAUAUAAGUGCUAAGUAUUGCAUCCGUAUAUUUUCCAUAUUUUGAGUGUCUUAGAACCAUUACUUCAUUUAUCCAUUAAUAUUCUUCAGAGGUGAAAACAUUACCUUAAUAUUACAUGGAGUAAGCUAGAAGUGAUUUGGCCAAAAUUCAUGUCAAGCUUUACAUAUUGCUGUUAUAAUUAGGCUAACGGAUUAAUUCAAGUACUUAAAAGAGACUCAGUGAACUCCAUUAAUUUCUCUUCCCCCCCCCGAAUAUUUAAUGCAAUGCCAAAUAUGGUUAUCACAGUAAGAAAUACAUGUUUCACUAGCUGUGUAUUGUGAUUGGUUUUAGAAAGGUGGAAGGGGAAAUAUUUAGACUUGGCAUGCUGCUUGAAGACAUCCAAGAACAAACUGAUGAUGGCAAAUACAGCUUGGCUCCUUCACUUAUUUCUGAUGAAUCUGCCCAUUCAUUGAAUCCUCUUUGGGAGGUAAUUAUGAGUUUUAUCAUUUAAAGACUACAUUUUACAGUUUUACUAAAGAAAAUCUCAAAACAGUGCAGUUGUAUGUUUUCCUCUAAUAUUUGUAAAGCAUGACAGUUUUGGAUAGCAUGCCACUUCAAAGAAAUAUUUUUACCCAUGAAAUAUCAGCUUCAUUAAUUUUGUUAAUUCUAACAGAAAAUUAAGAGAGCUUUCAUAGUCACUAUUUUAGAAACCAGUCUUCUCUGAAUCCCAAGCUAGAGGCAUUCAGAAAAUGCUGGCUGGUAGAAGUCAUGUACUUGUGAUACACUGACCAUAUACACUACCAUCCUAUGGUUACUUUGUACAGAGCUCAGAAGUUUCAAGCAUUACCGAUCCUCCAGAAGAAACCACAUUUCUUCAAAAGAACAGCAAGGGAGAAAAUACAACUCAGACAAGUGACGUAAUCCCACAAACAAAUCAUCUGUUUUCUUUAGAAGCUGAAAAGUGCAAUCUCUGUCCUCACAUGUAAGUGUAAAACAGACAGCUAUUGAAGCUAUUAAAACUUUUUCCAUAAUUAU